AUUGAACGCUGGCGGCAGGCUUAACACAUGCAAGUCGAGCGGGGUGAUGUAGCUUGCUACAUUACCUAGCGGCGGACGGGUGAGUAAUGCUUAGGAAUCUGCCUAUUAGUGGGGGGACAACAUUCCGAAAGGAAUGCUAAUACCGCAUACGCCCUACGGGGGAAAGCAGGGGAUCUUCGGACCUUGCGCUAAUAGAUGAGCCUAAGUCAGAUUAGCUAGUUGGUGGGGUAAAGGCCUACCAAGGCGACGAUCUGUAGCGGGUCUGAGAGGAUGAUCCGCCACACUGGGACUGAGACACGGCCCAGACUCCUACGGGAGGCAGCAGUGGGGAAUAUUGGACAAUGGGCGAAGCCUGAUCCAGCCAUGCCGCGUGAGUGAAGAAGG
rnacentral:rRNA from 1 species